rnacentral:rRNA from 1 species
UGACCUCGGAUCAGGUGGGGAUCCCGUUAACUUAAGCAUAUCAAUAAGCGGAGGAA